rnacentral:rRNA from 1 species
CCCUUAGAUGUUCUGGGCCGCACGCGUGCUACACUGACCGGCGCAACAAGCUUUUUUCCUUGGCUCGACAGGCCUGGGUAAUCUUCGAACGCCGGUCGUGAUGGGGAUAGAUCCUUGCAAUUUUUGAUCUUCAACGAGGAAUUCCUAGUAAAUGCGAGUCAUCAUCUCGCGUUGAUUACGUCCCUGCCCUUUGUACACACCGCCCGUCGCACCUACCGAUUGAAUGGUCCGGUGAAGCCUCCGGAUUGGCGUGCACCCUCGGGUGCUGCCGAGAAGUUGGCUAAACCUUACCAUUUAGAGGAAGGUGAAGUCGUAACA